GUGACUUGCUUUGGCCAAUGAAAUGUGAGCAGAAGUGACGUGUGCCCCGUACCAGCAGAAGAGCUGUUGCCUAUUUCCACACUCUCUCUUUUCCCUCUGUCAUGAGACAGUAUAUUUUAGACAAGAGGCUGCUCGCCUUAGCUUGGAUCCCUAAUGAAAAAAAUGUGGCACAGAGCUGUAGCUGGCCUCUAAAGAUCAAGUCAUGGAUGGCAGAAAUGAACCUCUGCUGUUGUAAGCCUAUGAGGUGUAGGGGUCACUUGUGGUAGCAUAAUUUAACCUAAGCCAACUGAGUCCAGCACCUAUGUCACUGUUUUGGGAGUGUCUGUCAACUCCACAGGACACUAGGCUCCUUGCAAACAGGAAACACAAACACAGACACAAAGGGCAAGUCUGACAAAAGGAACUCCAUGACUUGUUUGCACCUGAACAAUGGUAAGUGACUUAAGCUCUUAGAAACAUGGGGUGUUAAGUGUGUCUGGCAGUCUGGGGACAGGAAGAAAAGCAAACCUGAUACAUCAGGAUUGCCAUGUGCCUGCCCUCUCCUCAGCACCUCCAGUGUGUUAACCUCUUUACUCCUCCUAACAACCCCAUGUGAUUGUUCCCGUACUGUUGAUAAGGAAACUGAGGCACGCAGGUGUUACACAGCUUGCCCCAAGCGGCAAGCUUGCCAGGCGGUUGCAAAGUGGCAAAGCUGACGCAUCCCAUGAUAUCACCACGAUGCUACACGGGAAGCAACAUUGAGUACCUAGGCGCUCUAAUUGAUCUCAAAAAGCCCCAGGUAAGUACUAUCAUCUCCUAUUUCACAGAUGAGAAAACUGGGAUUCAAAACAAAUUGACUUACCAAACAAUAUAGAGUAAAUAAGCCAGGAUUUGAAUAUUGAAAUGAAAUUCCACCUUUUAAGGUGGCAAAUGACCGAGAGAUGUUCCUCUUACAAGGAAGUAAGAAGCAGUGGCCGUGUUCAGCACAAUUGUCCUGUCACAGGCUCGUGGCAGGAGCCGUGAGCAGUGUGGACAGGCACUGCCCUGUGUCGGAGCAGAUGGCUGCCUUCUGGCUCCAGACCCUUGGCCUGCAGCCCUUCCAUCCUGAUGCCAUGACCUAUUUUCGCUCACCCAGUUAGCUGCAUGGCCUAUUUCUUUCCUGAAGAAUUAUUUCAUAACCUUCACCAAGUAACUAUCACAUGCUGAGCACAGCAUUCAUGAACUUGGACAUGAAAAAAAAGUCCCUUUAAAUUUGCAGAGCAGCAUUGGCAAUCCAGGUAGAAAGAACAAAAGGAAAAUUAAGAACAGAGCCUCAGACCUGCCCUUCCCUUGUAUUCAGGCCUGGGUACUUGGCUGGCAUGCUUCUCCUGGGCUAGCUGCCUCCUCCCAUUCUGCACCUUGGGCUUCCUGAUCUUUGGCUCCACAUUAUUGCCCCGUUCUCCAAAGACAAAUUCAAGAAGCAUGAGGACUAUGCAGAACAUGGGGUUACAGAAACAGCGAACACAGGGAAGUUUAAAAGCCUACAGAUUUCUUGCAGACACAGCCCCUUGUCUUUAGCUCCUGACUCCUUCUCCAAUGUCAAUUGGAAGCUGAGUCCUCAUACCAUUGGGUAUGAGGACUCAGCUCUGAAGAUGGGGCUUACUCACCAUGCACUCUCCUGACUCACCCUGGAUGCACCUUCUCCACAUACAAAUUAGAAUGUAUCGUGCCCUGCUCCAAGCCCUCUGUGGCCUCCCAUUGUGCUGAGCAGGACCUCCCUGCUCCUCACCCAGGCCUCCAGGUCCUCCAGAGUCUGGUCUGUGCUCCCCUCCAGCCUCCUCUCUACCACCGUCCUCUUCACCUUAAGAGCUCCAGCCCAAUCUGGUUUUCUCGUUGUGCUUUGAACACCUUCAAGUCUCUCCAGCUCAGGUGCUUUGCACUGGUUGGUCGUUCACCCUAGAACACCCCCAUCUAUCAGACUGGCUCUUUCUCAUCUUGUGGGUCUCAGCUGAAAGGUUACCUCCUCAAAGAGGCCUUCUUUGGUCACCUUAUCCAAAGGGAACCUCUCACCCCAGUCAGUCUCUGUUCUAUCUCCCUCUUUUAUUUUCUUCAAAACACUCACCCACUUCCAGAAACUACCCAGCUUGUUCAUGGGUUUGUCUCUUGAUUGUCUGUUUCCCUUGCCAGGCUGUGAGCUCCAUGUGAAGGCAAGGUUGGUGUCUGUCGUACUCACUGUUGUCUCCCCAGAAGGAAAAAGUGUGCUUCAAAUACAUGUGAAAUGGAGGAACAAAUUGUGUUAUUUCACCCGCUCCUACCUGGUUAUCUGUGCUCACGGAAUGCAUGUCAGUGUGCCUCCUGCUCCACGAAGCCAUCACUGGCCCUGAUGCUCACGUCACACAUGGGGUUACCUGGAUCGCAGUCAUUCACUUACUACGCAUCUUUUAGGAGCCCAUAUGGCGGGUGCUUUGUUAGGCAACAAUUUCACAAAAUCGUGCUUUUGACUUCAGAAAAUCUCUAAUCUGAUAGGAGGAUAGGCAAGAAAAUCAGUGAGGAUGGUCCCUGUCACCCUCUAUCUGGUAGAGGAAUGCCCAGAGUGCCACAGGAUAAAGAAGAGGUGCAUCUCAAUUGGACUAGAGGGUUCUAGCCAGGUUUCUGAGAAAUGGCUCUUGAGCUAAGUCUCUGGAUAUAAGAGUCAGCUACAAAGAGAAAAGCAGCAUACGUUGGGGUAGGGGAGCUGGGACCUUUUAAUCCCAUGAGUUAGAGACCCAUGGUGUUAACACCACACAGGGAGUUUGGGGAACUGGUUUCUGCCUAGUCCAUCUCUAAUGAGCUCUGUGACCUUGAGUGGGUCCUAUCCUCUGAGUCUCAGACUCUCUCUCUCUGCCUGGCAUUUAGUGAAACCCAAACUUGCCUUGAUAUUCCAGCCCUUCUACUUAUCCCAUAAGUGUUGAGCUCCUACACUCACUGUCCCCUAGCACCAAUGCUCUGGGUACUCAUUUUAUGCCCAGCAGGGCACAAAGUGUCCUGAAAGAUAUAAUUAGUGGGAAAUCCAAUCUUUGCUCUGGAUGCAGCUAUAAUUUGGAAAGGGAGGAAAUAAACUAUAAUAAAAUUAGAAAAAAACAAAGCAGUGUAGCCCAACAUCUUACAUCAUUUGCUAAUCCUUUCACAUCUGCUGGUCUUAUCUCAAUUAGUUGUCAAGCUUCAGGUCAGAGACUCUGUUGUAUUUUUUUGUAAUACCAUCUCUACCAUUUUCUAGCUGUAAGAUAUUGCUCUAGUUACUUUACUUUUCUAAGCUUCCAUUCUAGCAACUGUAAAAUGAGGAAAGUACCUUACUUAUAGGGCUGUUGCGAGGAGUAAAUGAACUAUGGCACAGGAAGCACUUAGCACAGGGCCUGGUGCAUAAUAUGCCCACAAUAAUAAUUACAUCAUCCAUGAGGACAGACAUGGAAGAAUUGGAAUGUGCAACAAUAAGCAACAGGUUGAAAAGCAGUAAAUGAAGACUGAGUGAACACAGCUUCUGGAGGUGCCCUAAUUGAGUUUUUUAAGGAAGUAUCUUAAAAAUGUAGCAGGCUGUUGUAAUGGUUCAAGUAGAAGGUGGAGUCAGGACUUGGGAUGAAAGUGAACAAGGAGGCACUAUAGGGAAAGAGUCAAUAGGAGUUUGAUGAUGCUCUCAGUCAAUAGCUUUGGUUCUUCUCUGUGUGGGCAACACACUAGCAUUUUCAUUCCUUCCAGCUACCUGUUGCAUAGGCUUAAUUACAAGUGAGUGCAGAUGAGAGGGCUGGGGCUCCCUGCUUUCACCUAGCUCCUAUUCAUAGAUGUAGGCUGUAUCUCAGGUGUAGCAUGCUCAAAAUACUGUGGUCCCAAUUACCCUCACCCUAGUUUGCUCAUAAAGCAUAGCUUCUAUGCCAGGAGAUGUAAGCCAAUAAGAACAGAGGCUAGUAUCUCGGCCCAGCACCUGAUUCUAAAGCAGGGGUUUUACUCACAGAUAAGUGCACCAUUGUCUCCACCCACAACUCUGAAUCCAUGGUUCAGAGAUUUUUCUCAGAGUGGGAUGUAAGCCAUCAAACAGCUCUGAAGCUGUCCCCUAGGGAACUAACUUUAUCUGAAACUGAGUGUGGGGAAGUUCAAGCCUAAGGGCACUCUCAAAGACAUUGAAGGUUUUGAUGAAAAGCAAUUAAGAGGAGCCUAGUACUUUGUGGAAGAUAUAGGCUAAACCGUAGGCCUGAUAGCUUAUCAGAGAGAACCAGGGAAAGAGAUAGCUAAGAAGAGCCUACCUGGGGUCAGAAAAACAUCAAACAUUGACCUCAAAAAUUACACCUACAAAGAAGCCCACUUUUGAUUGGAUUAAUUGGAUGAUUACUGAGCAAUCUAUGGCCCAGGGCAUUGUAAAAAACAAUAGAACAAUUCGUUGGAAAUUAGUAAAGCCUAAAAUCUGUUUAAAGAGAGAGACCUAAAAAAAAAAAAAUGAAAACUGUCAUCCCAAAAUGACAAUUGGUGUACACACUCAAGUCUGAGUCUUCUGAAGAGCAACUUCAGAGGCUUCACACUGUGGAGGGAAAUAUACUUUACUAAAAUAGGCCAGCUGGUCACUAAACAAAUAAACAACAAUAAUAAGCUGGGGAUGGGCAGCAAAUCCACCAUUGUUAUAUUAUCUGAAAUGUUCAGUUAUCAACACAAAAUUAUGAGACAUGAAAUAUAAUAGGAAAGUGUGACAAAUACAUGGGGGGAGAAAAGCAGGUAGCAGAAAUUUUGAGAAGUACCAGAUAUUAGAUUUAAUAGAUGAAGAUUUCAAAGUAUCCAUUAUAAAUGUGUUCAAAGAACUAAAACUAUAAUUAAAAUAGUAAAAAAUGACAAUGUCACAUCAAAUAGAGACUAUCAAUAGAGAGAUAAAUAAUUAAAAAGAAUGAAAUGAAAAUUCUGGAGCUGAGAGCUGAGCACAGGAGCUCAUGCCUGUAAUCCCAGUACUUUAGGAGGCCAAGGAAGGAGGGUUGAUUGAGGCCAGGAGUUUGAGAUUAGCCUGGUCAAUAUAGAAAGACCCCAUCUCUACAAAAAAUAAAAAAAAUUAACCAGGUAUCAUGGCACGUGUGUGUGGUCAAAGCUAUUUGGGAAGCUGAAGCAGGAGGAUCACUUGAGUGGAGGAAUUUGAGGUUGCAGUAAGGUAUGAUGAUACGGU